rnacentral:lncRNA from 1 species
AUCUAUGUUAAUGUAUGAUAUACCUUAUAAAUAAUUAAAUAUUUUUGGAUACAAUUAUUUUGCUGUUUUUGAUUUUCUUGUUUUUUGUUUCUAUUGAAUCCAUCAAAUUUUUAUUUCACCCUAUACUACCCUUUGAAAGGAAUUUAGUACCAUAUGUCAUGGACAUUUUAUGAUUGUAUUGAUUUUUAAGGUCAAAUGUAUGUGCAUUCCAUCAAAAACAAAAUCCUAUAGAAAAAAAUAUGUCCAGAUAUUUUAUUUAUUUAAUACAAUGUAUUUCUCUUACAGAAAAGAAUAUUAUGCCCGAUAAAAGUCUUUGUAACAAAGAUAUGAAGUUAUACCCCACCCUUGGUGUUUUUGACUGGCCACUUCGUUCAUUUCCUAUGUCCUGUUCCUGUCAUUGCAACUCCUGAAACCAUACAAAAUAUAAAAAUGACACAAUAUGUUCGAUGUUUUGUUGGAAGAUAGAAUGUUGGCCUUGAUAUUGACCAGUUUGUCAUUGAAAUGCAUCUGAAACCACAAAACUGAAUAUUAUAAAUUUUUAUUGUUAAUGAGGAAAUAAAAUGUAGAUUCGAUGUGUGUACCUUUACGAAUUUGUUAUCAGUUGACUAAAAUUUAUGAGUCUUUGAUCUUGAGAAUGUUUUAAGAUUUUGUUUGCCAGUUACAGUGUUUGGCGUGGGGUAUGUGAGGAUGCUAAAUUGGUUCCUUCAUUUAAGAAGUAACUGAAAAGUAAAAUAUCAAAAGUACCGAACUCCAAGAAAAAUACUAACAAAUAGUUCCUCAGCAAAUGGCAAAAUCAGAGGUUCAAACACAUCAAACAUAUGAAUAACAAUGGUCAUAUUCCUGACUAGUUACAGGCAUUUUCUUAUGUAGAAAAAGGUGGAUUAAGUCUUUGUUUUAUAGCUAGCCAAACCUAUCACUUGUGUGACAGUUGCAUACAAUUCCAUUAUUUUGACAACAAUGUAUGAACAAAACUAACAGACAUAACAACUAUAGAUAAAAAUGUAAAAAAAAAAAAAUUGGAUUACAGCAGUCAAUAGUUGUGUUUUGAUUUUAAUAAAUUAAUCUUAAAAUGACC